rnacentral:lncRNA from 1 species
GUCGAUGCCCGACGGACGCCACCACCGUCUGACCGCCGCCGUCGCCCCGAGCUGCGGGCUCCCGCUGCUGCCGCCGGCCUCCCCCCAACCCGAUCUGGAUCUGGAGAGGGUGGAGAGAGAGUGGGUGGACGGGGGAGGGAAGGGGAGGUGAGAGAACUGCAGCAUGGGGCCCACAUUUAAAGCUACUACUAGUCGUUGCCCUAAGGUGAUGCCCGUAAAAGAGGUAAAAGUUUCCGCUCGCCCUUUCUUUUGGGCCUAGCCUCUGCGACACAGCAUACUAUUCCCAGCGUGCACUUGUGAUGCGUGAAUGGUGAAUAGUCUCGAUCAACAGGACUGACCAGGUGCUGUAGAUAA